GACGAACGCUGGCGGCGUGCUUAACACAUGCAGGUCGAACGGAAAGGCCCUGCUUUUGUGGGGUGCUCGAGUGGCGAACGGGUGAGUAACACGUGAGUAACCUGCCCUUGACUUUGGGAUAACUUCAGGAAACUGGGGCUAAUACCGGAUAGGAGCUCCUGCUGCAUGGUGGGGGUUGGAAAGUUUCGGCGGUUGGGGAUGGACUCGCGGCUUAUCAGCUUGUUGGUGGGGUAGUGGCUUACCAAGGCUUUGACGGGUAGCCGGCCUGAGAGGGUGACCGGCCACAUUGGGACUGAGAUACGGCCCAGACUCCUACGGGAGGCAGCAGUGGGGAAUAUUGCACAAUGGGCGGAAGCCUGAUGCAGCAACGCCGCGUGCGGGAUGACGGCCUUCGGGUUGUAAACCGCUUUCGCCUGUGACGAAACGUGAGUGACGGUAAUGGGUAAAGAAGCACCGGCUAACUACGUG
rnacentral:rRNA from 1 species